CGAUUUGCAAUACAAAAUAUAAAUAAUGUAUGAAUUAUUUAUUGCAAAUUGCCUUUUAAUAUUUUUCGGGCAAAAUGUGUAUGCACAGAGUAUGGUGCCCAUUCUGUCUUUGGAUCAAGAAGAGAAAGACUUACCGAAUGAUACAACCUCUGAUCAAUUGAAAUUUCUGCCAUUCAUAAUGCUUAUAGACAAAAGCAUGGAUCCAAGUGAUUUUUGGCGGGAAACGGAGAUACUGUCAUUGGUCAGAAACAACGAAGCCGACAUAGACUAUGAGACAUGCGAACAGCGCGACCGAGAGAAGUCUGUCGUUCAGUUUCCUAGCCGCCGGAUUGUGAGACCUAUUUGUAAAAGUGCCAACGACUAUCAGCUGUGCCCGCAGUGUCCGCGGUUCUCCAACCACACGGAGUGCGAGC